UGAGACGAGAUUUUAACGAGGAGGGGUCGCCCUCCUCCAGUUCCCACCUCCUCCCAAUGCUAACUCUAAACUCCGAAGCUCCUCCUCCUCCUGGAAAGCUAUGAGAGCCCUCUUUGGGAACCCCGUGUCCCUCUCCUCCUCCUCCUCCUCUCUUCCCUUCUAGAUUUCCUCGUCCGACGCCGAUGGCUAUUCCGGCCGCCGUGCAUCCCUUGAGAACGCCACCGGAGACGGCGAAUGGUGAAGGAGCGGGAGCCUCAGCCAAGAAGCAGAAGAGGGAAUGUCAAGAAUUCGAACCAAGAAGCUAUGAGGUGGCGGUAUAUGAAGUGGCAUUGCGGAGGAACACGAUCGCGGUGAUGGACACGGGAUCGGGGAAGAUGAUGUCCGCUUCAAAAAGAUUUGAAAAGGAACUUAAGAUGAGCGGGGACCGCUGGCUCGUUAUAUUUCCUGCACCCACCGUCCAUCAUCAGUCAGGUCAACUCGAAGUCAGGAUUCCUUUUUUAUCUUCCCCUCUAAUUAUCAUGUAGUGUUUCUACGUUUUCGUUUUCAAGAUCUUGUUUCGUAAGUUAUUUUUUGGGUUCAAUUUCUUUUGUUCACUGCUGGCGCGAAAGGAGUUGUUGAAUGGACUACAAAGUUUUUAGUGGACGUAGCAUACGCGCGCAUCGGCUGAAGUUUGCACUACAAAGUUUUAUUUUCUUUUCCCCUUUGAAACAUCACUAUCUUGUAGUCUUAUAUACUGUGAUCAUGGUCCUAAAAAGGCUAAAUGCAGUGAAGGUGCGUUCUAUUUCUUUUCUAACUGCCUAUGUAUAAAUAAUGAUUCAUUCUAUGAUUAAUUCGUUAUUCUGCUGUCUUGUCAUCAUUCACUGUUACCCUGUGGCAUCACUGGCUGUGCUCUGUUUUUACCGGAAUUAGUCUAAUUCAAGGUUUGCUGCACCGGUUGAUACCAGUAUGUACCAAUGUAUCGUGCCGACACGGAACCGGUAUGCGGUAUAGAAGCGCACCAGCGCUCGGUAUGUUGAACCAGCUUUCAUACCUGGAAUAUCAACACUGUAAUAGGAUGAUACAGAUAUAUAAAACAUGAAAUGCAUAUAUGGGUUGGAAUUGUACCUGGGAGUGGGCUUCUUGGAUAAUCAUGUCAUUUUGUACCUAUUUUUUUUUUCCUAGUAGCAUUCUUUUCUUUGGUUAUCUUGCAUCUUUUGUUGUGUAUUGGAUUAAGCUUCUGCCAUGGAUUGUCAUGUACAACAUCAAAGAGAAGGAUGGACCAGGACGGCCAUAUUGUCAACAUCGUGACUUCUAAGCUUGAGACAAACUAACAUUAUAGAAAAAGGAUGGACCCCUAAAGUUGACGACAAGAAGCCAGACCGAUCGUUAUUGCUCACUGUUGUAUGUAUUUAUUCAUUCAGUCUACUUUUUUAUAUGUAUCUUCAUGUCAGGGGUGUUGUCAGUUAUGGAUUUCAAGAUCAGCUUUCUGAACUUGAAACCAUUUUGGAUGCUAAGGUGAAUACAUGGUUCCUGUGCAUUAUUUAUUGCUAAUCUUAGGUGAAUACAUUGUUCCUGCACAUUCUUUAUUGCUAAUCUUAGAAUGAAAAAGCAAAAAACUCUUCUUUAUGCUCAUGGAUUCAUGAAGUAUGUCUGGUUUGGGUGGAUCAUCAUUUUUUGUCAAUUCUUUUACAUAUUUAUACUGUGGCGGGUGGAAGUGAGAUGGAACUCUAUAUCCCGGCAGCUAAAGAAAGAGGUACUAUAGUCUGAAACUAUUCCUUCAUGAAGAUCUAAAAAGCAAGCUGGAAUUAUUGUGGGCUAAGGUUUUCGCAUCUCCGUCUUGCAUAUUUGCUUUUUUUGCAUUUUGCAGUCAUAUUUGAUCUCAUAAAUGUAAUCAUUCAGCAUGAUUUUUGUAUUCAUGCAGUAUGAUGCCUCAGUCGCCCAGUUGCAGAACUCAGCAUUAUAUUAGCAUAGCAAUGUCGCUGAAAGAAUUAAAGCAUCAAGGCAGCGAAUGUCCAAUGGGCAUGAAAAGAUCUGCUUCUUUGUAGAUGACCAUGGUCUAAUCUGUGCCAGUGAGGUUUUAACCUGGAAGCUUGCCCCAUUGCAUGCACUGGGAAGAGGGGUGCCAACUAGCAGACCAAAGUCCUAAGGGCAAGGUUUUGAACACCAGUGGGACGGACGGGUGUCCCACUGUCCUGAGUGUUAGGAUGGGGCAAGUUCGAAAAUGAACGAGGCAGGACAGAACAUUCACCGUCUUGAGUGUCAGGACGCUUCCACAAGGAAACCAGGACAGCCUCUCUUUCUCUCUCACGCUCUCUCUCUCUUUUUCUCUCUCCCGUUCUCUCUCUCCCCUCCUCUCUACUGUAUCGGUAUAGGACCGGCACAGCACGACGCGGGGCCAUACCAACCUAUGCUGCCGAGCAACCGGUACGGGGCCCAGUACUGGCACGGCAAAGGUUGCACCCCAUGGUCCAUGGCAGAUCAUACAAACAGGGGAGAAGACCUGAAUUGUACAAGAUGUCUAAUCUACUUUCUUAACCUACGAGAUUUUUCUUUUUUCUUUUGUUUUUUAUGGAGGAAAUUCUUAAACGAAUAAUUGAUUGAUAUUGCUAGCAAAUUCCAUUGUCCUCAAGCAUCUUAAAGGUGAUAGCAAUGCCCUAGACAAUUGACUUGCACAAUGCAAGCUAGGGUAUUGUGCGCCCAUUCAAAUUGUUGAAAUUUGUCUUUAAUUUAUUAUUAAUUGAUUUGUUUUUAGUUGUUUCAAUGCGUCAGACCCUUUAAAUUGAGAUUGAUACUUGUGCUUUUUUGCUUCUUUAAUUGAGUUGCUGUUCUGUUGACUGGUUCACCAUGACUGCUGGGCAACUUUUUUCCUUAAAUAGGACUACCAGGCAACUUUUGUGAGACUUGCCUUUGAUUUCUUAUGGUUGCUCUCAAUUCUCUGUGCAAUGCUUAUGAUUUGAUAAAUUUGUUUUGUAGGUUGCUGCUAAAUAAGUUCUGAUAAAUAUGUACUUGCUGAGAAACAUCUAACAAAGAAAUCUAUUAUUUGAUAUCAUUAAAAGCAAGCACUGUAUGAUGGACAUUACUUUAAAUAGGAACCCUGAUGCCCUUCCAUGCAAGCUAGCUAGCAAUGAGGAUAUAGAUGCAUGUUCUGUUGAGUCAACUGGUGCAAGAGUAAAAGCAGAUUCCAGUGUUAGUCUUGUCUUUAAAUAUUGUGAAAAGAUCCCCAGAGAUAUAUACACAACAUUUUUCUUGAUAACCAAGGCAACCAUUUUUAAGCUUUUUUUUUUUCCUGUUUUGAUUUGUUUUGUUUUGCUUGCUAAGCUCUUUUUAUGGUCUUUGUUGGCACAAAAUGUUCUUGUUGCAGCUAUUUGACUCCAAAACCAGUUUUGAAAUUCACACUGUGUAGUGGGUUGGGUCCUAUGAGUGCACAUUGACUUUACUUCCCAGUGCUGCAUUUCAGACAUUGGUGGGCCCAGUUCAUUGAAAUUCUCAUGUGGCAAAGCAGUUGGUAUGCCUGGUUGCAUGCAAAAAGCUGCAUCAAUUGGGAGUUCUUAAUUAUCAUCUUGUUGAAGAGUUUUGAAAUUGCACAAGAUAAAAAAAUAUGAGGAAAAAGGAACUGUUGCAGGGGCUGGUAAGGGAUCUCUUAUGAUGCAUUUGUGAUGAUAAUAAGAGAUAGAAAUCUAUUUGUUAUCAACCCAUUUGUUUUCACUACCAUUCUUGGCAAUUAUUAAGGCACUUAUGCAAAUUUCUCGAUUUAUUAUUUGAUUAAGUAUACUUUAGAGCACUAUCUAGAUUUGAUAAUGCAUCUCUUAGCAUUUAUGCAUUUAGUAAAGUAUAAAUUAGAUUAAACAUUCUUUUUUUUUAAUGUAGGGUCUUUAAUAUGCAAGGAUCUGAAUUAAUUGGAUGAAGCUUGUUAUGCCCCGAGGUACGCCAUACUAGACGGUACGAGGCAUAUCGUACAGUACCAGUUCGGUAUUGGUAUCUGGUACGGAUGGCGUAUCGACACUCAGUGCGCCCAAAAAUUUUCAUACCAUACCGUACUGACAUUAUACUAGUGUGGCACCGGUACGGGGUCCGGUACCGAAACGGAAAACCUUGUUAUGCUCUUCUGUAAUCUUUUUUAUAUUAUCUUGUGCAGAAUUGCAUCAUGUAUAAUCUAUUACUUUACACUUAAAAAGUGUUGGGUAGGCAAAAAAGAAGAAAGUAUUGGUUUGCAGAACCACUCAGGCAUUGGCUAGCAUCUUCAUGACUAAGUUCCAGAAAAAAUGAUACCUAUGCUAAUGAGGUUAUUUUCUACACUUGCUGAUACCAGCAUAAGCAUUUUAAAUCUAGCAUUGAAGAGCAGUUGGUGAUCACUUAUGGAAGGCAUGUAUUCUGUGCUAAAAAAUUUUAGGUAUCAUCUUUAUUUCAUAUGAAAAUACAUAGGCUGUUAUUGGACUCUGUAGAUGAAGGAUACCAAUGGCAGAAGCAAUGGUAUUAUCUCCACAUAUUGGGUGUAACUGGCAAUGGGAUCUAGACUUCAUGUCCUUCAGCCCAAAAAAUGAUACUAAACCACUGAUCCAGUAAUAUUUUUGGACAAUUAUAACCAACAUAUUUAUCCUAUUUAUUAUGGUAUAGAAAGCUGACCCUUUUUCUUUGCAAUUAAGGUUUAGUUCACCAAGGCACACAGAAUAUCACCAUCAUGGAGAUGGGACUCGAUGAAGCAUCAAAUGGUUUAACCUAUAUGGGUUUAUAGAAUUUACCCAUAUUAUGCCAAGGCCAUAAUGACAAUUUUGUUAAAAAUUUCGGUAAGAUUAGCUUUACUUUCUUCUUCAUAUGUUGAUUUCUGUAUACGUCAUUGCCUCAUUAAUGGUCUCUUUAAAUUCAUAAAUGAGGUUUACUUUUAGAUGAAUGAAGUUAUUAUUGGAUUCACAUGUGGAAGUAUGAACUUUAAAGUUAUAAAUCAAAAACUGAAAUUGAAAGGAACUAUUUUGAGUGAAAGAAUCCAUUGGUUUCAUGAUGAUUUCAAAUCUGUCUGUAAUAAUUGCAUCUCUUAGAGAAUGCUGAAAAGGUUCUGCCAAUUAUAUAUUUUAUCUAUUAAUGCAAUAUGUUGUGAACUUAUGUUCUAGUUCUUGAUAGUUGAUAUUCAUCGGUUGUCAAAAUUUUGGUGUAACCACAGAUCUGGUGUGUCCUUUUCUUGUGUUAACUGAUGAGGAGAGUACUUUAGCUUGAGAAAGAUUGCAAGGCAAAUAACAUAAUGUACGAAAUAGAUUGAAGAGAAAAGCAUGGAUCAGUGUCCUGUAUGGCCAGUGUAAGAAACAGUGGGGACUUCAUAUGGCUGAAACCCAUCUUCCACAUUGAACUUAUCGAGAACCAAGUUAGUAUUUGUGAGUUCAACUUCUAAUAAGUCCUUUCAUUAUAUACUUACUUUCUUAAUGUGAUUUAGGUCACUUGUCAAGAGUAAGAUAUCUUGAUGCACUUUUAUCAAGAAAUCAUCAAAGUAAAAGGAGUGUCGGCAGGUUUAGGUCAUGUGGCAUGUUUAACUCUUUGUCCAAAGACAUCUUUGAAUCCUCAAUAACUUGGCUUGAAUCAUAUGCUUGACAUUUGUCUAAUAAUAUUAUUAGGAUCUUCCAACAUUUAUGUGCAAAUUAUGAAUAGAACUUUGCAAUGUAUAGUCUUCAAAGAAAAAAGAAAUUGAUUCAAAUUCCUUCAAUAUUUAAAAAAUGUUUCAGAAAUUAGAUAGGAUGAAUUACAGGUAAUGCACAGAUCGGCUAGUUAUUUUUUAUGCUUUCUCUGAAAUAUUUGAAGUGCACAUACCAGCAACAGUUUGUGCAAUAAAGGGAUUAUUCAAGCAAUUUAAUGUUUUUCUUUACCUAUGACUUGUUCUAAAUAUUCAAAAAAGUAACCUCCUUCUGAAUUUUGUUGGAAGGAUCAACAAAAAGGAAAGAGCUACAUGGGGCAUGGAUGGUUUGUGCUAUGUCUGGAACUUGGGCACAUGAAAAAGCUGGUGUAACUUUUACUUUUUGUUUCUCUCGUUGAUGGGAUACUGGAUGAAGAUGUUGCUUCUGUGUAAAUGGAUCUUGGUUGAUAAGAUGGUUGAGGCCUCCAUUUUUCCCCUGUGGACCUAUUCAGUUGGAUAUGGAACAGGUGGAACAAGCAAAGCUCUUCCCAAGAGAUUUUCUUCAAUCAAUUGCUUGGCAAGUUAAUUUUAAGAUCUAAAUCAUCCAAGAACCAUGGGAAUUCUUACGAAAGGAAGAUGACAAAUCAUUAUGGAGCACUCUAUACAUGUAUUUGCUUUUACCAUUGGAAAAUUCAUCUAAUCAAGAUCAUUAAGUUAUACAAGUGAAUCAAUGCAACUGCUUCAAUCGUAAGAUUUAUGUGAAAUGGGUACACCUGAGGCCAAGGUUCGCAAUCUCAGUACCGAGUAUUAUAUCAGUACCUUAUUGGUUUGGCUUGGUACGGUACAGUAUACCUUUGUGCCGAAAUAGCUCUCCAACCAUGUUUCUCAAUUUUUAUCUCAGUACGCCUCGGUAUGAGCCGGUACGCACCUCGGUAUGCCUCGGUGCAGGUCGGUACAGGGCGGUAUGCCUCGGUAUGGGCAAUAUAGAGCUUGUACUAACUUGAAGGUGUGUUUCGUACCAAUUUUCUGCCAGACGAUACGGUACGCCCGUAUUGGGCAGUACGGCAGACCAUGCCUGAGGUUGAUGCUGUGAAUCAGAUAUUAAUCAAUUGGCUAAUAAGGUUGCAAACCUUCAGAGCUUUAAAUAUAUGGUAGUGAUUGCAAUCCAUGCAGGAAAGAUUUAUUAUAUUCUUGACAUGGUAAUUGGUCCAUGUACUGUUAGUCCAUUUGAUGGGACAUUGGGACUAAUGACAAAUCAGUGAAACUACCAUCAGAAUUUUGUACAUUUUUGAAUACUUUAAUAAGAAGCAGGUCAGUUGACUAUUUCACUGUUUGACAUAUUGUAAUGUUAUGUAUUAUAUAUAGCUGCUGAUUGCCUUUAUGCUAUUUCAACUGAACUAAUUAUACUGACUGUACAAGUACUGUAUUGUGCUUUGGCAUCCAGGUCAGCCAUGAUUGCUGCUAAAGCACAGCCACGGUCCACACAACCUUCUAUGUUUGAAGUAUGAAGUGCUUUUGACAGUUAACAUGCGAAGAGGAGGACCAUAAACUGUGCUGUAUCAGCUCUGCAAAAGAUCGCAGUCACCAAUGCAUAGCUUUAAAUCAACAGAGCAGAAACCAAGGUUGGUUAGAUAGAUUAAAGAUCAAGGUGCUAAUUCACUUUCUUUUGUGGGUAAUUUUGACAGGCUAUCCAGUUGCAUGUUUGUACUAUAAAUUAUUAUGAUUUAGUGGGGUAAUUUCUUUUUUCAUUAAUAUCCCUGCUUGCAUCUAUAGGAUCUGCUAGAUGCUUGGCUGGUAGGAGCUUCCAGCUAUAGUUCCAAUUAAACUGUUUGGUGUUUGUUUUGCUCAUUAGCUUAUUUGAAGAAGAUGGCAUUCUUCAGGUUGCCCCUUCUGUAAAUGUAUUUGUGGGGCUGGAGAUAGAGGCUUCAUUUGGUAUGUGUCUUGUCUUUCAAAUUUCAUGAUCUGGUAUCUGCGCAAUAUGUACAUAUGACCACACCAUCA